CUAAGCUGGGCUUCCUCCAUUCUACCCAGAUAGUCCUUGACUGAUAACCACGAUUGGGACCAGAAUUUCCACCGCUAUACAAGGAACAAUAGAGGAAGGCCAAAGAAAACCUGGUGCCAAACAUUUGAGGAAGACCUGAAAAAGCAUCAAUCUUAAAUGGAAGAGUACAGAGACUGCAACUGUGGAUCAAGAACUAUGCAAUACUCUUGUAGCCCAAUGUGCUUAGCACAUGAUGUGAAUAACGUAAGAAAUAUAACAAAGAAUUAUUUCAUGAAUUGUA